rnacentral:rRNA from 1 species
CCUGAUCCAGCCAUACCGCGUGGGUGAAGAAGGCCUUCGGGUUGUAAAGCCCUUUUGUUGGGAAAGAAAUCCAGCCGGCUAAUACCCGGUUGGGAUGACGGUACCCAAAGAAUAAGCACCGGCUAACUUCGUGCCAGCAGCCGCGGUAAUACGAAGGGUGCAAGCGUUACUCGGAAUUACUGGGCGUAAAGCGUGCGUAGGUGGUUGUUUAAGUCUGCUGUGAAAGCCCUGGGCUCAACCUGGGAAUUGCAGUGGAUACUGGGCGACUAGAGUGUGGUAGAGGAUAGUGGAAUUUCCGGUGUAGCAGUGAAAUGCGUAAAGAUCGGAAGGAACAUCUGUGGCGAAGGCGACUAUCUGGGCCAACACUGACACUGAGGCACGAAAGCGUGGGGAGCAAACAGGAUUAGAUACCCUGGUAGUCCACGCCCUAAACGAUGCGAACUGGAUGUUGGGCACAACUUGGUGCCCAGUAUCGAAGCUAACGCGUUAAGUUCGCCGCCUGGGGAGUACGGUCGCAAGACUGAAACUCAAAGGAAUUGACGG